CAGGAAGUGUGUCCUUUUUCCCCUCCGCUCCUGCUCCAGCGGCAUGAUGUGAUCCACCAGCAAGGAGGGAUGCCAAUAAGGCGUCUGAUAAGGGCGGGGCUCCUGAUGACCUCAUCAUCUUGCUUCAGGCUCUACCUCCAAAUGCCAUCACCUCAGCUCUGCUGCCCUGGGCCAGACUCCCAGCACAUGGUCUUCUGGGGACAUGUUUAGUUCAUUUCUGCUGCUCGGCUAUGUGUUCAGAGACACAGAGGAUCUGCCAAGAGAGACGAGAACAAUGUGGAAAUUCAGGGAAAGGCUAGCGGGAGGCAGCCAGGGCCAGAGAGAUGGAGGAACAUCUGGCCACUCGGUGACUUGUAUUUAAGAUCCUGGCCCUUCGGCUGGUGAUUUGAUUUAGCAGUGUUCUGUUUCCUUGCAGUUUAUGUGCCCAGAAAUCUGCGCAUUUUUUACACUUUGCUGCCACAAAGCUUUUCAGAAUAAACUAAUAAUAAUCACAAUAAUGAUCCUUGAAUCUCCCUUUCUGUUUUUUUUUUUUUUUUUUUUGAGACAAGAUCUCUCUAUCUAGACUUGGAGCUCUCUAUGUAGACCAGGCUGGAUUCCAACUCACAGAAAAACCUGUCUCUACCACUUAAUCUCUUUGAUGAGACAUGUGCCACCACACCUGGCCUGACCACCACACCUGGCUUGACCACCACACCUGGCCUGACCACCACACCUGGCCUGACCACCACACCUGGCCUGACCACCACACCUGGCCUGACCACCACACCUGGUUUUGUUGUUCUUCUGUUUCAGUUGUGCUCACAAUGAAACACAACCACGAGACUCACAAACCCACGAGGAGUUUAUUGGGGAAGGGAACAAAGGGUGUGUGUGUUUGCUUAAAAGGGGAAGCUUGCACUUAUGUACCGAGUCCUGCCUGAAUGCCCCCCAUUGUCAGGCAGUGGGGUCAGCAUAAUGCCUGGGUUCCAACAGGCUUGACCACCACAGCUGGCUUGACCACCACACUUAAUCACCACACCUGGCUUGCAUUUCUGUGGUAUGAAUUAUAAUCUGCCUUUUUUAUCUCAUGUCUUGUUUGUUUGGGUUAUCUCUUUUUCCACAGCCAGCUCAGCAAAGAGUUGGUCAAUUUGCUAAUUUUUUCUCAAUUUUAUUUACUUUCCCUUAUGUGUCUUGCCUGUUUGUAUGUGUGUGCAAUGAGGCAAGGGGACAGUGUUGGAUGCCCUGGAACUGGAAUAACAUAUGUUGUGAGUCUCCAUGUGGGUGCUGGAACCAACCCUGGGUCCUCUGAAAGAGGUGCUCAUCUCUCUAGCCCCCACAAUAGGUGCCCUUAACUGCUAAGCCAUCUCUCCAGCCGCUUGCUUUUCUCUUCAAACCAGUCUUUUGGUGUUUACUUUUUAGUCUCUAUUCAUUUGUUUCUGCUCUGAUCUUUCCUUCCACAGUUUUUGGUGGCUUUUGUUUUUGUUGUUGGUAGUGUUGUGUUUGUUUGUUUGUUAAUGUUUUGUUUUGCUCUCUCUUCCUUGAGUUGUAGCAUUAUUUGUGUCGUUUCAAUGUGAUUGCUAUUGUUGCAGACACCUAUUUCUGUGACCUUCCCUGUUACUACUGCAUUUGCUGUAUCCAGUAGGCCCUUAGACACUAAAAGAUACGGGUCUCUCUCUCCCUCCUUCCCUUUGUAUCCCUGGCUAUCCUGAAACUUACUGUGCAGACCAGGCUGGCCUAGAACUCACAGAGAUCCACAGGCCUUUGCCUCCUGAGUGCUGGGAUUAAAGGCCUGUGCCACCACACCCUGCUUAAAGUCUUUAUAAAAUAUUUCUUUUGAUUACUUUGUUAUGUAGUUUGGUUGUUUGUUUAUUCACCUGGCUACUGGAGGAGAAUGUCAUUGUUGAUUUCUAGUUUCAUUACUGUAGCCAAAGAAGAUAUUUGCUGUACUUUUUCUGUUUUUGAGUGUGUGGACACUCUGUGGCCUCGCGUGGGGUAUAUCCUGAAGGGAGUUCUUGGUGGUGAGGUGCAUUCUGCAGCAGUGGGAUGAAACAAAUGUCUGUGAGGACCACUUCAUUUCCUGUUAGCCAACCUAAGUGUCACCUUCAUUAUUUCAAUCAUUUCCUGGCAAACACCCUGAGCUCCCUGGUCUUCCCACUCCCCAAAGUGUGUACCUACCAAAACUCUAUAUGAACCUGGCUAGCCAUCUCCUUUUGUAGCAGUAUCCUGCUGGCCUGGCGCCGGGAGUGAUAACAACUAGUCCUAACCCCCUGCUAGGUGACAACUGGACUAUCUGGAGAUAAACUUUUGUCCCCCUUUGUGAACUUUGUUUGGGACUUUCCCAAGAAUACAAAGGCCUAUGCAAAACUUGGUUCAGGAAACCCGGAAAACUGUGGUACCUAUGAAUCCAGACUUUGCACUUGGCAUUGUAUUUUUGGAAGCCUCAUUCAAGUUGUUCUGAGCAUAUUGUAAUCAACUGGUUAAAGUGUAAACACUGAGAAAAAUAAAAAUGCCCUGGGUGCAGGGAACGAACUUCAGUCCAUCGAGGCUAGGGUCCCCUGCAGUUGCAGAAAGACCAAAUUCAUUCUUAAAGCGUCUCUGAGUUUUCUUUCCGUGGACCCGCAUGAACCCACACCUGGGCCACGACAUCUGAGAUAUUUGUUGCCCAGUGUGUGGCUUGAAGAAGGACAAAGGAUUGGCUGAAGAACUGGAGGAAAAGCGCACUCGGGGUAAGGGGACUCCAGGACAGGCAUGGGAAAAUUCUCAUCUCUGGAGCAACAGUAUAUGCAGUUAUUAAAAUGCCUGUUAAAAGGAAAUGGAGUGAAAGUGAAGGAAAAACAGCUCACAGAGCUUUUAAUAUUAAUUAAACGGCAUUGCCAUGGGUUUCAGGCAACCCCUCAUGUUCAGUUGAAACUGAAGGCGUGGAAGCAGGUUAUGAGAGCUUUGAGGACAGCUCAUCAGAGAGGAGAGCUCACACAAUUCAACAUUUGGUCUUGGUGUAAUUUACUUUCAAAUGCUCUGGAGCUGUUGCAGAGUGAGGAGUCCUUAAAGCUGUGUGUAAAGCAGAACAGGAAAGUAAAAGGGAAGACACUCAGACAUGGUCAGGCAGCAGAGGAGAAGGUUCCUUCCCAGUCCAUAGGAUAGGAAUGCUGCUUCAGAGGGCAGUGAAAGUGAGGAAAGCCAGGGCCUGGAGAUAGCCUUCCUCCUUCCCAGAUGAAACACAUUUACAAAUUAAAAGGUAGAGGCUGGAGAGAUGGCUCAGCAGUUAAGAGCACUGGCUGCUCUUCCAGAGGACCUGGGUGUCUGUAACUCUGAGAUCUGACACCCUCACAUAGACAUACAUGCAGGCGAAAUACCAAUGCAAAUGAAAUAAAGAUUAUAAAGAAAAAGAAAUUAAAAAGUCUGAAAGGUUAACUGCACAAUUUUAUUUAUUUAUUUAUUUAUUUAUUUAUUUAUUUAUCUUUGGUUUUGGUUUUUUGAGACAGGGUUUCUCUGUGGCUUUGGAGGCUGUCCUGGAACUAGCUCUUGUAGACUGUGCUGGUCUGGAACUCUCAGGGAUAUGCCUGCCUCUACCUCCCAAGUGCUGGGAUUAAAAGUGUGUGCCACCACCAACCUGCCUUAACUGCACAAUUUUUAAAGAUAGAAAUAAAAUGGCUCCUGAGACAAAGAAUAAAAAAGGAAAAAAGAUUUUCCCAGUAAAAAGGGGAAAAAUAUUGAAUCAAGUCUAAAAAUUAAAAGGCCCCAUAAAAGAAAGACAAAGGAAAGAAAAAAGUCUCUUCCUAGUAGGAACAGAGGAAGAAAAAAGGCUCUUUCCUGUAUAAGAAAUUGAGGAUAGCUAAAACUCAGAGCUGUCUCUGGCUGCACCCUGUGUGUCAGCUCUUCCACAAAACUGUCAGUCAGCACAGGGCAGUGCUGUCUGAAUUACACGGAAUCCACAGGCGGCCUCAAUGCUGCAGCCUGAGCCAGGGCAGCAAGCCCAGAGCUUAGAAUUUUGUUUUCUGUUGGCUUAACUUUGGUUAAAAUUUUGUUAUUGUGUGUCCCUCAGAGCAGGAAUAACCCAGUAUUAGGGUCCCUUCAUGGGAAAUGUGUUUUUUUUCUCUCCAGUAAUGGGAAUAACUCAUUAUCAAUGGUCCCUUCACGGGAGGAAGAGGGAGUUUAAAGAAGUCCAGCUUCUGGUAAAGGGCGUUUGUGUCAACUCAACUGCUGUUUGAAUUUCCGGAGAUAUUAAUCAUUUAUUGCAUAGAGCAUGUUCUCUUUUGAUUGUCUAAUUAAUGUUUAGAUAAAUGUUUGAUUUUCCUAGUAAAUGAACUAAAAGAGUAAACUUCAUGAUUUUAAACUAUAUUACUGGAUAUGCUCUUUUUUAAAAAUUUACUUUUAUUUUAUGUGCAUUGGUAUUGUGCUUGCAUGUAUGUCUAUGUGAGGAUGUUGAGUCCCCUGAAACUGGAGUCACAGUUGUGAGCUGUCAUGUGGGUGCUGGGAAUUGAACUCAGGACCUCUGGGGGAACAGUCAGUGCUUUUAACCGCUGAACCAUCUCUCCAGCCCUUGGGUAUGCUCUUGUCUGUUUAUCAUUACUGAAAAUUUGGCUCCGUUCUUUAAAUUGCUUUCUAAAAAUUCAUGAUUAAAUUCUAUAAAAAUGUAAACCUGAUACAGACUGAGUUGUUAGGGUAAUAGAUAACAUGGCAAUUAAGGUAAAAGCUCAUAAAGAAUAAUUUCUUACUGAUUAAGAGCUUACAAAAAUUAUUUUUCCAUUAAAUAAAAUGCAGCCAAAUUAUUUAAUCCACACUGUUAAUAAUUGGCAAGUUGCAUUAAAGUGUUGCUUGGAGCCUAUAAAAAAGGAUCCUCUUGGGCUAGAGUGAUGGCUCAGAGGUUAAGAGCAUUGGCUGUAUACAUAAUAAAUAAAUAAAUCUAAAAAUAAUGCUUUUAAAAAAGGAUCCUCUUUUUAAUAUUUUAUAAAAAUGCUCUGUAUUACCUAAAGUUACCUCUUAAAAUCCUAUAUAAAUUGUCUUAUUGCAUUUAUAUAUGGCUUAUAUAUAAAAGACUAUACAAAUAGAAGCUGGUGAUAGAAUUGCUCAGUUGUUGUUGCUCCCAUAUUUUAAAGGUGUUGUGAUAUAUAAUUUAUGAUUCAUUAAAGCUUGCCUAAGGAUUCAGAAAGCAAAGUGAGUCACAAGCCAUAGAAGCCAGGCAUAUACCUUUAAUCCCAGCAGCCAGAAGCUAGGAGGUGGUGGUAGACACCUUUAAUCCUGAAACUCAGGAUUAAGAGGUAGAUGGAUCUCUCUGAGUUCAAGGCCACCUAGGGAUGCAUGAGAUUGAGCCACUCUAAAAGAGAAAUAGAUCACAUGCCUUUAAUCUCAGCACUAGAAGGGUAUAAAAGAUAGAAGCAGGGUCUUCAAUAUUCAGUGUGAGGCAUUCAUUUUCCAGCCACACUGAGGAGAGAUUACUGUUUGAGGCUUGUUGAGAGCUCGUGGAGACAGGAUCAGCCCAUUCAGCCUGAGGUAGAGAUAAGAAGCCAGUGGCCAGCUGCUUUGCUUUUCUGAUAUUAACCUGAAGUUUGAACCCCAAUAUCAGUCUCUGGGUCUUUUAUUAAUUCGUGUUACAGGCUCUGUUUGCUAGAGGCAAGCAGAAGCUCAGUUCCUUUAAGAGAGGCUUCCUGACUCAGCGUUAGUGGCAAAAACAGCCAGGCUCCUUUAAGAGGGCCUGCUACCGAACACAUACAUGGAGCUUAUGAACAGCCAGAAGCAUGCUUCUUGGUGGUGACAUGGACCAAGAAACUCUACAGAGUUCUGGCAAUAAACUUGUUUCCCACAAGCACCUCUGCUAUGAAGCUAGGCUCUCAGGAAGCCAAGGAAUAGAGCAGAACCAGCCACCACUUUAAUACUACAUUGCUUAGCAGAGUAAAGAAAGACUCAUGGUCAGAAAAAGAAAGAGAUACACAGUAAAGACUGAUUCAGAGGAACAAAGCCUCUAAACUGGAUAUGGUGUGUUUAAAAACAUAUGUAGGCUUGGGAGAGAAAAGAAAAAGGAUAGAAAAAUUCCUUAAAAGAAAUAGAGUAGCUGGGUGUGGUGGCACAUGCCUUUAAUCCUAGCACUCUGCAGGCAGAGGCAGCUGUAUCUCUAUGAUUUCAAGGCCAGCCUGGCAUACAGAGAGAGUUCUGGGACAGCCAAAAAUACACAAAGAAACCCUGUCUCAAAAAAAAACAAAUAGGGUAAAAAAAAGCCACAUAAAGAUGGAAAAUACACAGAGUAUGGAUACUGUGUGUUAUUGUGCUGUCUUUGAAUUGUUUGACUGCUGAGGAAGGAGCAACAGCUGCUAAUAGACCUUUGAUUAUAAAUGCUGCUGGAUUAAGCCAACCUAUAUAUUUUGAAAAUGCCUUGACUUCAAAAUUCAAGUCUAAGGACAUGUUACUUUGGAAAAGAGGUUCUGCUUUUGUUUCCACAGAAGAUGAAACACAGUGAAUUGCUUCCAGACUAAUAUGGUUUGAUCAAACAAGACCUCCUGAAGCAGUGGUCCAGGUGAUCCAACAUCCAAAACAGCUGAGACCAUGCAGCCUCACAGACCACUACAGCCAGGAUUUGGCCAUGGUUCUGGGUUUUCUCAAGAUCUGCAUGGGAUUGACAGUGCCCACAAUCAGCAGGAAGCAGUUUAGAGAGGACUAUGCCCACAUUCCCAAAUAUUGUGUAUAAAUGUUUAUUUUCAUUUAAACAGGGCUAGUUAUAAAUGGUUAAUGAUCAUAGUUAAUUUCUUUCCAAAGGAAAAAAAGGGAAUAUGAUAUAGAAAUGAAUACUUUGCAUUGGUAUGGAUUUUGGUUCAUUGAUACAAAUUUAAGGUCAAUUUGUUAUAUGUAUAUUUCUACUCUUGUUUAGGUAUUGUGCUUAUAUAGAACUCUUUUGAAAAUAUGUAUGAUUAAAUACAGAUUACAGAUGGUCACCUAUAAUAGUCAAAACUUAUAUUAGUUAGGUUUUCUAGAUAUACAGAGAUAUAUUUCAAAUAGAUGGGUAUUCUUCAAAACUUUCAAAGACCUACAGAAUAUGGCAUUUAAAAUGGUUUAUUAGAGUUUUUCAUGACAAUGAGACACAACUGCUCCUGGCAAACCCACACAGAUAUACAUGCAGGCAAAACACCAAUGUACAUAAAUAAAAAUAAAGGGAGGAAAGAAAAUAGAAAAGAUGGAAACAGACUUGUUCUUUUAUCUUAGAAAGGGUCUUGUUUUAAUGUCCAGAUUGUUCUGAAACUCACUAUGUAGCCCAGGCUGGUCUCCUGGAAGUCUAAAAUACCUUCAUGUCUCAGCCUCCAGAAUGCUGGGAUUAUGGAUGUAUGUUAUCACACUCAGGUCCCAGCCUCUUUUUUUUCUUUUUCUUUUCUUUUUUUUAAUUUCUAGGAAUAGGCUUGCUAAAUUAUUCAGGUUAGCCUUGAACUUGUGAUCAUCCUGGCUCAGUCUCCAGAGUGACCAGAACUAAGGUCUUCACUGUUUCCAUCUUUUCUAUUUUCUUUCCUCCCUUUAAAUCUUUUGUUAAAAUAAAACCGAGGGCUGGGGGUGUGGCUCAAGGGCAGAGUGGCCAUUCAGCACCCUGAGUUUGAUUCCCCAGGACCUCACAAACCAACCAAAACUAAGAUACAAAUGCCACGGGUGUUGUGGUAUGCCAUCUCUAUCUCUGUCCCACAGAAACAUCUUCUGGGGCAUGAGUACACAGGGCACUGUUACCUCCUGUAAUAAAGCCUUCUAGAACCUUCUGAGCACCUGCCUGAGGCUCUUCCAGAGCAAGUGUCACUCUUCAUAAAUGCCCCCAUGUAGUUUUCUUGGCUGCUUUUCUGUCAUAGGUUUGCUGUGAGUGGAGGCUAUGCUGUGGGCAUGCCUCCCUAUUGAUGAAAACCUUUCCAGCUUGAUCAGCUUGACGACUGGAUUUCCUGAGGUCUGUAAAGCCUUCUCUGCCCUCCUCUGCGUUUUUGUGGGGUUAUUCUUUUUUUCUUCUGUGUUUUCAUUUUCUCUCACCUCUCCAGCCCAUGCGCUUUUCUUCCAGUUACACUAUAGUCUUUGGGGGACCAUGGUGGGUCUGGAAGUCUGCCACCACAGGGUGGGUCACACAGCAUGUCACAGACUGAGGCAGUUUCAUUUAGCACACAGCUGUACCCCCUUUCACUGCUGAAUUUAUCAAAACCUAUACAUUGUGUGGCUGCCUGGCAAGUGAUACCCUUGCAGGUAUUAAUACCUUCGACCAAUUCUCCCAAUGAUUUUCAAGUCACAUGUUGUUUUUGUAAGUUGUCAUAUUAUUUGGGUAAUGCAGUUGUCACUAGCUAAGUGAAACUGUUGUCUGAGUCAUUAUUUAAUAUUUAGCUCUUCUAAUGCCUUCUCCAUUAAAAUAGUCAUCCCUAGGUGACAUGUAUUCUUAACAAGUAGAUAACUGUUUCUAAAAUCAUACUGUACAUCAUUUUGAAACUUUUUAAGAUUUUGCUGGACUAAUAAAUAUGGUGGUAAAAGUUC
ensembl:lncRNA